CCAACUUUAGAGAUGCAACCCAACAAAACACAGCUAGAUUUAGCAGCAGCAGGAAAAUUCAACUAUAUUAGAAACUGUUUCCAGCUUUCUCAUAUAUAUAUGAAGUGGCAUAUAAAUUUACUUCUACCCAGCAACUCCAUCAGCUUGCAGCUCAUUGCAUCCUCCACUGGAUGGACCCUCCAUUCUCUCCUUAGCGCAUCGAAGAUGGUCGAGGAACACGUGG
rnacentral:lncRNA from 1 species